AUGCAGCAGCAAGUAGCGCACGUGCGGAGCAGAGGCAACGGUGGCCAAGAGGAGCACACGCGGGCGGCGGGAGACAGCUGCGUGGGACGCACUCGGAGGCGGAACGGCAACGGCUGCAGGCUCGAUCUGGAAGGGGCGCCUGCGAGGGCCACAAUCUGGACGUCAUGUGUGACGGGAUCUAGACCACGGCCUUGGGAGCAUGGAUUAGGAACCUUCUGGCCUGGGAAACAGCCGACGGAUCGAAGGCAACAUCCUGGAGAAGGGUGGCACGUCAUUGUGCGGGACAGGCAGCGCCCCGACGUCCACGCGGAGACAACAACCUGGAUGAGCACCGGCGGAGUCGUGGCUGUCCAGCGGCGAGCGUGUAGAGGCCCAAGUUGA
rnacentral:rRNA from 1 species